GUUCAGCGUUCCCCAGAGAGCAGAGUCAGUUAUAGAGCAGAGUUAUAUUAGUUUCACCAUCAUGAAGAACCAGCUCACACUCAUACAGUCAGGAGUGUUUAUAGUCCUGUGAGUUUAACACUUCAUGACUGAGAGCUGCUACAGCAACUUCUUCACCCACAGCAGCCAUGACUUUAAUCCCCAUCUUCAUCUGGACCCUGAUCUUCUGCUCUCAAGAGUCCAUAGGUCAGGUGACUGUGACUCAGAGUCCUGCAGUGAAAUCUGCUCUUCCAGGAGACACCGUCACCAUCAGCUGCAGGACCAGUCCUCAGGUGUAUCAGGGCUGGAGUUUUCAGCCUCUUUAUUGGUAUCAGCAGAAACCUGGAGAAGCUCCUAAACUCCUGAUCAAAAAAGCCUCAGAGCUUCAGUCUGGUUUUGCAGCUCGUUUCAGUGGUAGUGGAUCUGGAUCUGACUUCACUCUGACCAUCAGUGGAGUCCAGUCUGAAGAUGCUGCAGAUUAUUACUGCCUGAGUUUUCAUUAUAUCAGCAGCACCAACCUGUUCACACAGUGAUAUAACGCCGUACAAAAACCUCCGUCACUCAGUCGGGCUGCACAGAGACUGCACUAAGAUGGAGGAAGUGAAACAACACAAUCACACACUCUGUGGAGAAAACAAACACAUCACACUAACUCACUGCUAAUAAAAGAAACAUAUAAAAGGCUCGAGAACGCUAAAAAAUACAUUAAUCACUGUGUACAUGAAGAUAUUCUUUGUUGGAAUUAAAUAAAGGCUAUAUGUGUGAAUGUAAAGAUGAUGUAUUAGACUGAUUAUAAUAUUAAGAAUAGGUUUAUUGAGGAAAACUUCA